rnacentral:rRNA from 1 species
GACGAACGCUGGCGGCGUGCUUAACACAUGCAAGUCGAACGGAAAGGCCCUGCUUUUGUGGGGUGCUCGAGUGGCGAACGGGUGAGUAACACGUGAGUAACCUGCCCUUGACUUUGGGAUAACUUCAGGAAACUGGGGCUAAUACCGGAUAGGAGCUCCUGCUGCAUGGUGGGGGUUGGAAAGUUUCGGCGGUUGGGGAUGGACUCGCGGCUUAUCAGCUUGUUGGUGGGGUAGUGGCUUACCAAGGCUUUGACGGGUAGCCGGCCUGAGAGGGUGACCGGCCACAUUGGGACUUAGAUACGGCCCAGACUCCUACGGGAGGCAGCAGUGGGGAAUAUUGCACAAUGGUCGGAAGCCUGAUGCAGCAACGCCGCGUGCGGGAUGACGGCCUUCGGGUUGUAAACCGCUUUCGCCUGUGACGAAGCGUGAGUGACGGUAAUGGGUAAAGAAGCACCGGCUAACUACGUG